CAUUGCCUACGGGGCGCAGCAGUAGGGAAUCUUCCACAAUGGACGAAAGUCUGAUGGAGCAACGCCGCGUGAGUGAAGAAGUAUUUCGGUACGUAAAGCUCUACCAGCAGGGAAGAAAAAAAGUCCUUUGGACUUUGGACGGUACCUGACUAAGAAGCCCCGGCUAACUACGUGCCAGCAGCCGCGGUAAUACGUAGGGGACAAGCGUUAUCCGGAUUUACUGGGUGUAAAGGGAGCGUAGGUGGCAGGGCAAGUCAGAUGUGAAAACCCGGGGCUCAACUCCGGGAGUGCAUUUGAAACUGUCC
rnacentral:rRNA from 1 species